UACGGAGGGGGCUAGCGUUGUUCGGAAUUACUGGGCGUAAAGCGCACGUAGGCGGCUUUGUAAGUUAGAGGUGAAAGCCCGGGGCUCAACUCCGGAAUUGCCUUUAAGACUGCAUCGCUAGAAUUGUGGAGAGGUAAGUGGAAUUCCGAGUGUAGCGGUGAAAUGCGCAGAUAUCAGGAAGAACACCCGUGGCUAAGGCGGCUCUCUAGUACGGUACUGACGCUGAGACGCGAAAGCGUGGGGAGCGAACAGG
rnacentral:rRNA from 1 species